rnacentral:rRNA from 1 species
UACGUAGGUGGCAAGCGUUGUCCGGAUUUACUGGGCGUAAAGAGCGCGCAGGCGGUCGUUCAAGUCGCGUGUGAAAGCCCCCGGCUCAACUGGGGAGGGUCACGCGAUACUGAUCGACUCGAAGGCAGGAGAGGGAAGUGGAAUUCCCGGUGUAGUGGUGAAAUGCGUAGAUAUCCGGAGGAACACCGGUGGCGAAGGCGGCUUCCUGGACCGGACCACUGACGCUGAGGCGCGAAAGCUAGGGGAGCAAACGGGAUUGAG